rnacentral:rRNA from 1 species
UGGGAAGAAUGUAUAGGUAUGUAUUGGUGCUCCCGCACCUUGGUUAAUAGUAUCGUCAGUAUCUUUGUAUUGAUAUUCCACGUGGAUAACUGUGGUAAUUCUAGAGCAAAUACAUGCACCAAAGCUCCGAUCUCAUGACGAGCGCAUCUAUUAGACCAAAAACCAAUCGAGAAUAUUCGCCUCAAAACGAAUGCCUCGUAAAUUUGGUGACUCUGAAUAGCUUAGCUGAUCGCAUGGUCUCGCACCGGCGACGUAUCUAUCAAGUGUCUGCCUUAUCAACUUUCGAUGGUAGUUUAUAUGCCUACCAUGGUUGUAACGGGUAACGGAGAAUAAGGGUUCGACUCCGGAGAGGGAGCCUGAGAAACGGCUACCACAUCCAAGGAAGGCAGCAGGCGCGCAAAUUCCCCACUCUCAGCACGAGGAGGUAGUGACGAAAAAAAACGAGACCCUUCUCUUCAAGGCCGGUUAUCGGAAUGAGUACCAUUUUAAAGCCGUUCCG